AGGUUAACAGAAUCAGAGAACUUCCAUAGAACAGUAAGAUCAUAGCCACUCACACUGACAGUCCAGAUGUACUUAUUUGGGAUGUUGAAGCACAACCAAAUAGACAUGCUGUCCUAGGAGCAAGCGAGUCUCGCCCUGAUCUGAUAUUAACAUGACAUAAGGAAAUUGUGGAAUUUGCGCUUGCCAUGUGUCCAGCAGAACCAUAUGUCCUAUCAGAAGGAAAGGACAAAUCUG